rnacentral:rRNA from 1 species
GAUGAACGCUAGCUACAGGCUUAACACAUGCAAGUCGAGGGGAAACGACAUCGAAAGCUUGCUUUUGAUGGGCGUCGACCGGCGCACGGGUGAGUAACGCGUAUCCAACCUGCCCAUCACUUGGGAAUAACCUUGCGAAAGUAAGACUAAUACCCAAUGACAUCCCACGAAGACAUCUGAAUGGGAUUAAAGAUUUAUCGGUGAUGGCUGGGGAUGCGUCUGAUUAGCUUGUUGGCGGGGUAACGGCCCACCAAGGCAACGAUCAGUAGGGGUUCUGAGAGGAAGGUCCCCCACAUUGGAACUGAGACACGGUCCAAACUCCUACGGGAGGCAGCAGUGAGGAAUAUUGGUCAAUGGGCGAGAGCCUGAACCAGCCAAGUAGCGUGCAGGAUGACGGCCCUAUGGGUUGUAAACUGCUUUUAUAAGGGAAUAAAGUGGGUCUCGGGAGACUUUUUGCAUGUACCUUAUGAAUAAGGACCGGCUAAUUCCGUG